rnacentral:lncRNA from 1 species
AUUUUGUUUGUCUUGUUAGUCUUCUCGUUGCUUAGACAAACAUCCCUUUACCUACCUUUGCAGCCGUAUACUGGAAAUACCCUAUGUUUUGGCUUGAUGCCAGUUUUCUCAUUGAUUCAGACAUACCAUCCCUUUAUGGGUUCAAACAACAUUAUUCUUUGGUUCAAACCAUACCUUUAUCAUUCUUCUUUCAUCUUCCACCUUUAGUUCUAUGAACUACGGACCUUUGAAUUCCUUAUUUCACUAUAAGGAUAUGUAGACAUGAGGGAC